AAAAUAUUUUGAAGCUUGAAGGUGUUUUGAUUUUAAUUAAUUACCUUGCAAUAUUUACUUCUGCCUCCAAUUCAAUACAUUCCUACAGUUAUGUGACUAAAGCCACAUUUCCCUUCUCAUCUCUUUCUGUAGCUGCUGUUAGUAAAUGUGCCUGCUGUGUAAAGCACUUGAUUCUUCAACCCUGUGAUACUGAUAUCUUGAGUGAGGGGUCUGUAAGGAGGGAGGAUCAGGGCCAUAAUGAACAACAAGUAUACCCACAGCCCAACCAGGAGGUGCAGAGACUACACAUGUAGACAUACGUCAUGGCGUGCCAGAAGGAUGCAGCCUGCCUUUUGAGAGGUGCCUGGAGCAGACAGUGCUUCCAGAGUGCCAUGGAGAAGACAGAAAGAAGAAGGAAGUCCAUGCUUCUGCCCCAAGUGGUGGCAGAUGUCUGUCUGCCUAUGAAGUCACACGUUGUCCGGUUGUCUGCAGUUGAGCAGAACAGUGCAGGAAUAACUGCUGUAUCAGGCAAAGGUCCACUGAGCUCACUGUUCUUAUCAACCCCAAACCUGUAACAGAUGCUUAGGGAAGAAUCUGAGAACAAGACUUAUAUAAUUAUAGUUCUUCAGAAUGUCCUCUUGUCCUUCUUUAGUGAUUUAUGACUCUGGGACUUCCUUUGCCAGAAGUGUCUUCAUAUUUGAAUUGAUAUCUCAAACUUUCAUCACAGUGUUAAUGUAGAUAGAAGUCUAUAGAGAAGACUAACUAUGUAGUGAAAGUUUAAAGAAUCAGGAUAUUAUUUUUCAUUGCUUCCUAAAUUGCAUCAGGAAAUAUGGAUAAUAAUGUCUCAAAAAUGUGUUUUGUUUGCUUGUUUGUUGAAAGAGCUAACAUAUAUUUUAAUCUGCGUAAAUAAUUCUAUUGUAUAAAUAUGUGGCUAUCUCCAUAUCAUGAAAAUUCUUCUACUGAGCAGGGAGUGAAUAUGUAAUCACUCUUUAUACUAAGACGUUAAUGCUUUUAGAUGUAUGUUGGCUGACAGUUUGAUUUGGCUGUUGGUUGCAGCUCUUUUUUUGUUUG
rnacentral:lncRNA from 1 species